rnacentral:lncRNA from 1 species
AUCCAUUUCAUGCAUCCAUAACUAUGUUUAUCCUUAUACCUGUUAUCUUAUAUAAUUGUUUGACAAAAUAAAUAAAAUAAAAUAAAAAUAAAUCCCUUCCCUGGGGCUUCCCCUCCUCUCCCGCACCUGGGAAGAUAGGAGAGGCGGGGAGGGGAUCUUGGAUGCCGGCGUUUUGGUCAGAGAAGCCGUUGGCUUUGUGGGGAGGGGAAUGGAUCAGCCGCCCCCGCUGAAUAGCCUGCGAGGAGCACCAACUGCGCCUCUGGCUGCUUUGAACCCGGCUCCGAAGGGAGGCUGCGCUCGGGGUUCUCUGCAUCAGCUGGGAAGGAAGACCACGAGUUAACCAAUGGAUUCUCUACUUGGUGCUGCAAUUGGCCUGGGUAAGUUCCUAGUUUCUUCCUCCACCAGUAUGUAAAUGCAGUUCCUUGUGGGAACUGGAGGGGUUUAAGAUUUCUCUCUUGGUCCUUGUCUUUUAGUAUCUUCUAUGUAAGUGGUGGGGGAUGAACAGUGGAAGGGAGAAGUAGAUCAGCUGAUGUUCUCCAGUAGUUUGGACUCUAUCCCCCAAAAGCCU